UCUUUUGAAGGUAAUUUUCCUGGGUUUGCACUGUUCCUCCAUCUCAAUACAUUUUUUUCCUGAUUGAAUGUUAAAUUUUUCAUGUGCUUUCUUCUUCUCUGGCUUGAAUUUCUCUGUUUUUAUAAGACUUUUUCCAUGCCUUUAUAUUGUUUCUAAUCUACUUCUUUUGCAGGGGUUAAUAUUUGGAGAAGUUUUGGCAAAUGAAUUUCAUAUUUCACUACUUCUCUAUGAUAUGGCACUUUGCGCAUUCAAGGUAUUCGAUAAUAUGCCUGAUAGCACUAACAAUAUUUUGUUAUGUUUCUUUCUUUGUAGAUUUUUCACUAUAUUUCUAUAUAUUGUGCAAUCGUUGGAAGAUGCAUCAUCAUGAUAAAUUAGAGAGAUAUAAUUCCUUUGAUAACAAUAUGUCUACUAGAAGUUUUAUAUUCAUGUUAGCAGUUGUUCCUGAUUUCGACAUGCAUUAUGUCUUUUUGAUGUAUUUUGUGUGGAUUAACAACUAAUUUGAGGCGGAUAAUGCACCUAAUGUAUUUGAUAAUAUGUUUGUCAGAGAUGGAAUCUAAACUUUUGUAUUCUGUUGAUUUUGAAUGAAACAUGUAAAACAAUACACAAAUUCGUUGGGCAAGUUUUCUCAAUUGCCUCUUUCCCUUCUUAGUGUGUAAUCUUGAGCUUAAAGUUAUCUAAUACUCAUAUUUUUAGAUUGUAAUUGAGGAUUCUUAUAAUAGUUCUUGAGAUUCUCUUUUGCUAAUUUAGGAACAUGACAACAAAUAUAUUUGUUUCCUCUCUUUUCCUUAGUUCAGUAGUAUUAUUAAGUAGUCGUGUGUUCUCUUAUUUUUAAUGUAUAUUACUCUUUGUUGCUUCCCUGCUUUAUCUCUUGCUCUUUUGCUGACAUAUUUUUCUAGCAGUUCUGCUUCAGAAACUCUUCUUUUGAGCCGAGGGUCUAUAGAAAACCAUCUCUAAACCCCCACAAAGGUAGGGAUAAGGAGGCAUCCUGUAAGGAUCAUGUAAGUAGAUGCUGCAAGCUGACUGUCUUAAGUUACUAGGCUGUGAUGAGAUCGAGAGAAGGCAAACAACAGAUCAAGAUGUAGAUCUGUUGUCAAUUUGGGAUCCAAUUCUUGAGUUACUUCACUGCAGUAGUAGUAGUUCUUUUCAUCUUUUUCCAUCACGUAUUUGUCAUUUCAAGCUGAGGAUAGUUCUAGAUCGAUGUAAAUGGACUCGUAUUAGCAUUAAAAAAGUAUUUGGUUUCUUUUCUUCAUGUUUGUGUAAUUGUAAAUAAAGUGAGAAUAUAAAUGACUUCUUAAUUUUUGUUGUA